GUGGGGAAUUUUGGACAAUGGGGGCAACCCUGAUCCAGCCAUGCCGCGUGCGGGAAGAAGGCCUUCGGGUUGUAAACCGCUUUUGUCAGGGAAGAAAUCCUUUGGGUUAAUACCUCGGAGGGAUGACGGUACCUGAAGAAUAAGCACCGGCUAACUACGUGCCAGCAGCCGCGGUAAUACGUAGGGUGCGAGCGUUAAUCGGAAUUACUGGGCGUAAAGCGUGCGCAGGCGGUUUUGUAAGAACGAUGUGAAAUCCCCGGGCUCAACCGGGGAACUGCAGUAGGGACUGCAAGGCUGGAGUGCGGCAGAGGGGGAUGGAAUUCCGCGUGUAGCAGUGAAAUGCGUAGAUAUGCGGAGGAACACCGAUGGCGAAGGCAAUCCCCUGGGCCUGCACUGACGCUCAUGCACGAAAGCGUGGGGAGCAAACAGGAUUAGAAACCCUGGUAGUCC
rnacentral:rRNA from 1 species